UGGCGGACGGGUGAGUAAUGUCUGGGAAACUGCCUGAUGGAGGGGGAUAACCACUGGAAACGGUAGCUAAUACCGCAUAACGUCGCAAGACCAAAGAGGGGGACCCUCGGGCCUCUUGCCAUCGGAUGUGCCCAGAUGGGAUUAGCUUGUUGGUGGGGUAACGGCUCACCAAGGCGACGAUCCCUAGCUGGUCUGAGAGGAUGACCAGCCACACUGGAACUGAGACACGGUCCAGACUCCUACGGGAGGCAGCAUG
rnacentral:rRNA from 1 species